GGAGGGAGCGAGCGUUGUUCGGAAUCACUGGGCGUAAAGGGCGCGUAGGCGGCCGAGUAAGUCGUGUGUGAAAGACCGGGGCUCAACUCCGUGUACUGCAUGCGAUACUGCCCGGCUAGAGAAAGGUAGAGGCGAGUGGAAUUCCCGGUGUAGCGGUGGAAUGCGUAGAUAUCAGGAAGAACACCUGUGGCGAAGGCGGCUCGCUGGGCCUUUUCUGACGCUGAAGUGCGAAAGCGUGGGGAGCAAACAGGAUUAGAUACCCUGGUAGUCCACGCCGUAAACGAUGGGCACUAGGCGUUGGGAGGAUUGACCCUCUCAGUGCCGUAGCUAACGCGUUAAGUGCCCCCGCCUGGGGAGUACGGCCGCAAGGCUG
rnacentral:rRNA from 1 species